UACACCACUUCCUGGAUAAUUGUAGCAUUGAAGGGAAAGGGGAAGGUCAUUGAUACUACAAGGGCACGAAAACCGCUGAUGGCACAACAAACCAGCAAGGCCAGGCCUGGAAGCAUUUUACACAAUGAGCAUAGACAUGGCAUGGCAGCUUCUGGCCAAGGAGAAUCAUUGAGAAGAUGAGCUACCAUAUUGCCAUGGGUUGAACUCGGUUGAAGUCACAUCUGUCUCGCCGGUGACACUGGAGCUGUCUAUGGCAGCCCGGUACUCUGUGUAUUUGCCGUUGUAUUCAUAAAUUUCCAGGUCACCCCACGGUGUAGGAGCAACCACAUCUGUCAUGUUGAACCAUCUUGGAGUAAAUUGCUCGCCCUUGGCAUCUCGAGUUCUUUUCUCAGCUCUUUGUUGUUCCUCAAGCCUGAAAGUUUGCAGAGAAACUCAGGGGUGAUGUCAAAACUGAAGGCAGGCAGCACAUGGGCCGUUCGAAAUUCCAAUUACAAUCAUAAAGCAGAGAAGAGGAAAGGGAAAAGUACCUGCUCUUCUCUGCGCCAGACUUAGACAUGUCACCCUUCUCGAGGGCAUAUCUAUCAGGUCUCAACCGCGAAUCAGAUGCCAACAGCUUC
rnacentral:lncRNA from 1 species